GCGAGACGGCGACGUUAAGCAAAUCCCAGAAAUAACGUCCCAGUUCGGAUUGUAGUCUGCAACCCGACUACAUGAAGCUGGAAUCGCUAGUAAUCGCGGAUCAGAAUGCCGCGGUGAAUACGUUCCCGGGUCUUGUACACACCGCCCGUCACACCAUGGGAGUCGGAAAUGCCCGAAGUCAGUGACCCAACCGUAAGGAGGGAGCUGCCGAAGGUGGAGCCGGUAACUGGGGUGAAGUCGUAACAAGGUAGC
rnacentral:rRNA from 1 species